GACGAACGCUGGCGGCGUGCCUAAUACAUGCAAGUCGAGCGCUUCUUUCCUCCCGAGUGCUUGCACUCAAUUGGAAAGAGGAGUGGCGGACGGGUGAGUAACACGUGGGUAACCUACCCAUCAGAGGGGGAUAACACUUGGAAACAGGUGCUAAUACCGCAUAACAGUUUAUGCCGCAUGGCAUAAGAGUGAAAGGCGCUUUCGGGUGUCGCUGAUGGAUGGACCCGCGGUGCAUUAGCUAGUUGGUGAGGUAACGGCUCACCAAGGCCACGAUGCAUAGCCGACCUGAGAGGGUGAUCGGCCACACUGGAACUGAGACACGGCCCAGACUCCUACGGGAGGCAGCAGUAGGGAAUCUUCGGCAAUGGACGAAAGUCUGACCGAGCAACGCCGCGUGAGUGAAGAAGGUUUUCGGAUCGUAAAACUCUGUUGUUAGAGAAGAACAAGGACGUUAGUAACUGAACGUCCCCUGACGGUAUCUAACCAGAAAGCCACGGCUAACUACGUG
rnacentral:rRNA from 1 species